AUGAAGGAAAAUAUUCUUGAACUUUUGUGCAUCACUAGUCCUAAAGUGAGCGUCCUGCCGCCCUCCAGUGAAGAGAUUUCCACAAAGAACACAGCAACACUGAUGUGUGUGGCCAACAAGGGCUUCCCCUCAGACUGGAGCCUGAGCUGGAAGGUGGACGGGAGCAGCAGGUCUGAGAAGAGCAGUGCUGGGGUCCUGGAGAAGGGCGGUCUGUACAGCUGGAGCAGCAGUCUGACUCUCUCUCAGGACGAGUGGAUGAAGGCGGUCACAGUGAGCUGUGAGGCCAAACAGAAAGAGCAGCUGUCAGUCACUGGAGAAGUGAGGAGAGAUCAGUGUUCUGAGUAGAUCCUCUGGAUUCUCUUCUGCUCUUCUCACUCAUGUCUCACAUGGAGACUAACAGUGACUUCUAUUCACACAAGUAUAUGUGUGCUUUUGUCUUUCAGAUUUCUCUUGUCAAAAUUCAAUAAACUAAUAAAAUAUUAC